rnacentral:lncRNA from 1 species
CAAAUGUAUGCCAUACGAAAACAGUAGUACUGCUCUUUUGACACACAGGGGAUUUCAGUUUUGGUAUUACCAGCUAUGCUGAAUUAUGGACUUGGGCAGCAGGAUACUUCAGUUGUGCGCACACAAGCGUACUCCUUUUUGCCCCAGUGUGCUUCUGUACAAUCCAGAUGCCCCAAGAGAAACACAGAAAUUACUUGCAUAGGAAGAAUCCCACGCACGGAAAGCCCAUUUAAGCAAAAAAGCCAGCGCUAGAGCUCUCGUCCAUCCUUAUUACAAAGGAUAGGAAGAGAACCGGAGGGAGAAGCGUCUGGGCGAGCGGGAAAGUAGCGAACAGCGGCCCCUGGGGGGCGACUCGCUGACGGGAAUUUGGGGGACGCGGCGCGCGAAUGGACAGAGCGGACGGGCGAACCAAAUUUCGGUCGCGGGGAGGAGGCUGGGACGGUGGUGGGACAAAGCGGCGAUAAGCAAGCAACUGCCCGAAGCAGUCCGGGCAGCGGAAUAAGCGGCGAGGUCGCCUCACGUGGGGCCACCUCAGGGGCAACAAAGCCUGACUUGGUUCAUAUGGCGGGAAAACAAAAGGCUGCCCCCCCUCGAGCGCGGGGCGAGAGCCAAGUACCUUUUCUCCGGUCACGACGUGCAGCCCUUCCCGCACUUUGGCGAAGGACCCCUCGCCCAACUUCCUUCCGAUCAGAGAGACUUGCAAAUGAGUUUCAACAAUAAUCAUGUGGCAUAUCACAGUUUACUUGAUGCAGUUGGGUCUCUGUGCGAUUCUCAUCACUAAUGAAGACACCAGAGAUUAACUGCUAAGGGAUUCAGUUAUCAAGAACAUGUUUUUAUUAUCAAAUGUGAAGACUUCUGAAUGCACGGAGGAAUCAAUAUACUUUGAAAUAAAGCCUGAUUAUUAAAUAAAGAGUAUAAAAACAAAUUUAAGGUGCAGAUGAGCACUGCUUCAUUUAGCUAUACUGUAUACGUGUUCAUUUGAUAUAUUCCAUUUUUAUAUAUCUGUUAUAUAUCUGCUCCUAAGAUGGAGCGGAUGUCACAAGGGACCCUGCAUGAGUUUGAUGGGCUCUGGACCAAUGGCCCCUCCAUUGCCUGCUCCCUCAGGUUCACAGCAUAGUGAGGGGGCAGACCUCUCAGUGUAUAAGGGUGUAUGAGGCAGCCAUUUUGGAGAGAGAAAUGAGGGAGAGAUCGGGAUGUUGAGGGUGAAAUGUGGAGGAUGCGGUUCAUUUAUGCAGGGCAGGGCUUACUUGCCCUCCCCCAAUGUUGUAUUCAAGUUGGCACCCUGGGUGGGUGGAACAGAGGGAGAGCACAACCCUUGAACCACCUUGUAAGUUGUUUUGAAUAUAUUCUCAAUGGUUUUAAAUAUAUAUUUACAAUAUGUGUUCCUGGGUAGAUUUUUAAAGGUAUUCCUCUUUAAAAUCAACCUGGAAAUAGGAUGCGACAGACUUAGGCCCAUCCUCUCUGAGAAUAAGGACAGUCUGAACUUCAGUGGGUGCCUAUGAUUGGACAUUGGGUUUGGGGCGAUUACAGAUGGCCCAAAUAUAUUGUGUGUCUGAUGAAGUGGGCUCUAGUCUGCAAAAGCUAAUGCCACCAUAAAUCUGUCUUGAAGAUGUCCUAAUACUUUUUGUUGGUUUUGUUGCAACAGCCUAACAUGGCUACCCUUCUGGAAUUUUCCCAUUGCAUGCUGAUUAUUAUAGCUGAACAUUUUCUAUGGUAGGAAAUUCCCCCGUUAUUUAUGUAUUUGUGCCUUUAUUUAUGCUAAUCAGAAGUGCCAGUUGACAUUUCACAUGCCGAGAGACUCAUCCUUAUCUUCUAAAUUUCCAUUUUGGUCUGCAUGCACACUUUCAUGAGAGAGCUAUUUUAAUCACAGCCCUCAAUUCACCUUCACUUCAACUUUUGAGCACAAGUUACCAAGACUGCCACACUGUGGUUUAUGGAGCAACGAGUCUGCAAACGUGUCUGAAGCAAAGCAAAGCAUUGCCAAAAGUGAUGCUAAUUCAUCACUGACUGCUGCCACUUCAACAAAAUGUUUACUCCUUGUCUACACUCUUGGCUCUUUGCUGACUCCUUGAUUUUCAGACAGACAGGGAUAUUUCUCUGAAGUGGCAACAGAUUUCAUUAUUAUUAAGGGAUGAUUUUUACAUAUCACUGAGAAACUUGAUUUCCUUACAGGAUAAUUGCAGCUUGCAGUUCAAUUUCUUUCUCUCUGAACUACUAAUUUCUCCUUAUUCUGUAUCUAUGAACAAACCAGUUCCUGUAAUUUACUUGAAUUGCAAACAAGGUUUGCAGAUGUUUUAAAUAUGUCUUGCCUAUCAUAUCAUCAUUUUCCUUUAUGUUUUAAAUAUAAAUUUAGUGACAGUUGCUUAUGUCAUAUAUAUAUAUAUAUCCCGAACAAAUAAGCUGUAACACAAAAUACACUACAGUAAUAUGGUAACUUGCACACAAACAAAUUAAAACACAAACGUACACACAUACACCAUGGAAGAAGAAGUUGACAUGCAGAAGGAACUUAUUUGUCACUGGUUAUAUUGCCAGCAUCAGAUUGCUCUAAUGCCUGCAUAUUAAAAUCCAAACAAAGAGCCAUGCAAAUUGCUGCCACUGGUUAGUUGCCUAGCAACUAUACAGUGAGUACUGAAAACAAAGUACUGUCAUACUACACUACCAUGCUGAGCUUGAAACAAAGCCUAUAGUAUGACUUGUGAAACACUAUAAAUCUGAAAUAUUUAAAAAGGUUGACCAAAAAGAAGAAAAAGAUAUUUUGAGACUCUCUUGAUUUUACAAAUUUUCCUCAAGGGAAUGGGCUCACAGGUAAUGCCAUGACAAAUACUGUAAUAAUUUAUGCCCUCCCAAAUGUGUUUAUCUUGAAGGUGCCACAAGACUCUUGUUUUGUUUUUUGCUGCAAAAGACUAAUGGAGUUACUUCUUUGGAAACUGUAAUAUGAGAAAGAUUUAGGGCUGUAGCUCACAUCUCCCAUCCAUGAUACCCCUGUCUACAGGCAGCAAGCAAACAAUAAUGCUAUGCUUGUACACCUAUUGUUUACUCCUGUUAUGUCUCUGGCUUUUUGUGCAGGUGUAAAAAUGGAGCCUUGUAUAUGCAUGUGGAAUUUUUGUUGUUCUUAAUGCUCCUAGGGAGGCUGUUGCAGGGGGAGGAUCAGACAAACCACAGUGAUCCUGUACGUGAUUAGAGCUUUAGCAUAUGCACAUUUAAAAACAACAACACAGUCUUAGGUCACUUCCAGACUCUUGCAUGGAUCUCUCACCCAUUUGGGGAGAUGCUGGAAUAUGUCCUUUGCACAAGAAAGGAUGCCUUCAUAAUCCACCCCCAAGAAAGCGGCUAUGUUGUGAUAAGGGAUUAAGGAGAACUUCAGUGUGGUUCACAUUUUAACAUGACCCAACCUAAUUUGCACUUCUAGAAACCAAAUGCAAACUGAAAUGCAGCUCUCCUUUGAGUUUCACAGUUGUCUGAAUUUUACGAUGUAGUUCUCCAGCUGAUAAAUGUGGAUAAAAAUGUGCAUAUUAGGGGAAGGUGUUCCUAAAAAUGCAUAUUAGGGGAAACUUGCAUUACGUUAAGAUAAGUUGCUUGUAAAAAUCUAUAUAGUAGGAAAAAUUGGGACUAAAAACGUUGACAUUUUUUCAUGAGAACUUAAAAAAACAUUCACAUACUGAUGUGAAGAUGUGGAGAACUGAACUGAACUGAAUCAAAGAGAAACCAAAAUUGAGAGGUUCAGCCACCACUGUGAUAAAGAGGAAUGGCACUGCAAUGGUGUAACAAAUUCACUUCCUCCCCAAAUUCACACUUUUUUGCACUAAGCAAAGUGAUGUGAAAAAGUGUGGGAUAACUACUGCAUGAAGGCAAUGUUCUAUAACCACUGCACCAUUUUUUAGUGCAAGGAUGAAUGUACAAUAGGUAGGUUGUCUGGAAUGUCCUUCUAUACAAAUACUCAGAAGGAAGGCACAUGAUGGCUGCAGGUAGGAAUAGAAUCUUGUGGCAUCCAGAGGUUUUGGGACUACAUUGACAAUGCUGGCUGGUGCUGAUGGGAGUUGGAGUCCAGCAACAUCUGGAGGUCCUCAGGCACCCCGCUCCUGCUCUAUACCAUCAGCUUUGAG